rfam:Capsicum annuum cultivar Zunla-1 chromosome 10, whole genome shotgun sequence
AUGUUAUGGUUUGGACACUGUGUCAGCUUCUUCUUGAACCUCUCCCAUGUUUUAUGUAAAGUGUCAUUCGGGAGCUGUCUAAAAUUAUAGAUCUCAUCUCUCAACUG